rnacentral:rRNA from 1 species
AGAGUUUGAUCCUGGCUCAGGAUGAACGCUAGCGGCAGGCCUAAUACAUGCAAGUCGAACGGCGUCCUUCGGGGCGCAGUGGCGCACGGGUGCGUAACGCGUAUGCAACCUACCUACCACUGGGGGAUAGCCCGGAGAAAUCCGGAUUAAUACCGCAUAACACCACGGGAGGGCAUCUGAUUGUGGUUAAAGAUUUAUCGGUGGUAGAUGGGCAUGCGUGCCAUUAGCUAGUUGGCGGGGUAACGGCCCACCAAGGCGACGAUGGCUAGGGGUUCUGAGAGGACGAUCCCCCACACUGGCACUGAGAUACGGGCCAGACUCCUACGGGAGGCAGCAGUAGGGAAUAUUGGGCAAUGGGCGGAAGCCUGACCCAGCCAUGCCGCGUGCAGGAUGAAGGCCUUCUGGGUUGUAAACUGCUUUUACCAGGGAAGAAAAGACCCAUGCGUGGGGAACUGACGGUACCUGGGGAAUAAGCACCGGCUAACUCCGUGCCAGCAGCCGCGGUAAUACGGAGGGUGCAAGCGUUGUCCGGAUUUAUUGGGUUUAAAGGGUGCGUAGGCGGCCCCUUAAGUCAGUGGUGAAAGCCCGCGGCUCAACCGCGGAACUGCCAUUGAUACUGGGGGGCUUGAGUACAGACGAGGUAGGCGGAAUUGAAGAUGUAGCGGUGAAAUGCUUAGAUAUCUUCAAGAACCCCGAUUGCGUAGGCAGCUUACUAGGCUGUAACUGACGCUGAGGCACGAAAGCGUGGGGAGCGAACAGGAUUAGAUACCCUAGUAGUCC